rnacentral:rRNA from 1 species
UUUUUUUUUUUUAUUUCUCUCAGACGAACGCUGGCGGCGUGCCUAAUACAUGCAAGUCGAACGCUUCUUUUUCCACCGGAGCUUGCUCCACCGGAAAAAGAGGAGUGGCGAACGGGUGAGUAACACGUGGGUAACCUGCCCAUCAGAAGGGGAUAACACUUGGAAACAGGUGCUAAUACCGUAUAACAAUCGAAACCGCAUGGUUUUGAUUUGAAAGGCGCUUUCGGGUGUCGCUGAUGGAUGGACCCGCGGUGCAUUAGCUAGUUGGUGAGGUAACGGCUCACCAAGGCCACGAUGCAUAGCCGACCUGAGAGGGUGAUCGGCCACAUUGGGACUGAGACACGGCCCAAACUCCUACGGGAGGCAGCAGUAGGGAAUCUUCGGCAAUGGACGAAAGUCUGACCGAGCAACGCCGCGUGAGUGAAGAAGGUUUUCGGAUCGUAAAACUCUGUUGUUAGAGAAGAACAAGGAUGAGAGUAACUGUUCAUCCCUUGACGGUAUCUAACCAGAAAGCCACGGCUAACUACGUGCCAGCAGCCGCGGUAAUACGUAGGUGGCAAGCGUUGUCCGGAUUUAUUGGGCGUAAAGCGAGCGCAGGCGGUUUCUUAAGUCUGAUGUGAAAGCCCCCGGCUCAACCGGGGAGGGUCAUUGGAAACUGGGAGACUUGAGUGCAGAAGAGGAGAGUGGAAUUCCAUGUGUAGCGGUGAAAUGCGUAGAUAUAUGGAGGAACACCAGUGGCGAAGGCGGCUCUCUGGUCUGUAACUGACGCUGAGGCUCGAAAGCGUGGGGAGCAAACAGGAUUAGAUACCCUGGUAGUCCACGCCGUAAACGAUGAGUGCUAAGUGUUGGAGGGUUUCCGCCCUUCAGUGCUGCAGCUAACGCAUUAAGCACUCC